rnacentral:misc_RNA from 1 species
GAUGAAGAACGUAGCGAAAUACGAUAAGUAAUGUGAAUUGCAGAAUUCAGUGAAUCAUCGAAUCUUUGAACGCACAUUGCGCCCCCUGGUAUUCCGGGGGGCAUGCCUGUCCGAGCGUCAUUACAACCCUCAAGCUCAGCUUGGUGUUGGGCCCCGCCGCCCCGGCGGGCCCUAAAGUCAGUGGCGGUGCCGUCCGGCUCCGAGCGUAGUAAUUCUUCUCGCUCUGGAGGUCCGGUCGUGUGCUCGCCAGCAACCCCCAAUUUUUUUCAGGUUGACCUCGGAUCAGGUAGGGAUACCCGCUGAACUUAAGCAUAUCAAUAAGCGGAGGA